CCUGGCGCCGCCUUACAUUUCUCUCGACGACCUCUUCGUAGUUUGCCCCAGACGGGUGAGUAACGCGUGAGAACCUGCCUUUCGGUCCGGAAUAGCUCCUGGGAAACUGCUGCUAUAUACCGNAUAAGCCCUUGCCGGGAGCUCAAAGAUUUAUCGCUCUGAGAGAGGAUGGCCCCGCUUAAUUAUUUACCUAAUUGGGGGGGCAAAGGUCUCCCAUGGCACACAUAUCGUAUACUUGAUUCUGACUCUCUUAAGGAUGAUCACCCACCCUGGGCCUGAAACCCGGCCCAAACUCCUCCGGGAGGCACCAUUGGGAAAUUUUGGACAAGGGGCAAAAGCCUGAUCCACCCAUGCCGCGUGGGUAAGAAGGGCCCUAGGUUUGUAACGCCCUUUCUCUGGUGAAUAUAAUGACGGUAACCAGAGGAGAAGCCCCGGGUUAUUUCGUGCCAACAGCCGCGGUUAUACCAGAGGAGCUAGCGGUGAUCGGAAUUACUGGGCGUAAAGCGCUCUUAGGCGGCCUUGUCAAUUUUGCUGUGAAAUCGCGGGGCUCACUUCGGAACUGCCUCCAAAACUNAAAUCUUGAAGAUGGGA
rnacentral:rRNA from 1 species